UACGUAGGGGGCAAGCGUUGUCCGGAUUUAUUGGGCGUAAAGAGCGUGUAGGCGGCCAUACAGGUCAGCUGUGAAAACUCGAGGCUCAACCUCGAGACGUCGGUUGAAACCGUAUGGCUAGAGUCCGGAAGAGGAGAGUGGAAUUCCCGGUGUAGCGGUGAAAUGCGCAGAUAUCGGGAAGAACACCCGUGGCGAAGGCGACUCUCUGGGACGGUACUGACGCUGAGACGCGAAAGCGUGGGGAGCGAACAGG
rnacentral:rRNA from 1 species